ensembl:lncRNA
UAAACACCUUCAAAAUUCCAUCUUAAUUUCUAAAGCUGCAAUCUUGUUUUGCAGCCAAAUGCCUAAGGUGGUUGGCAUUAUUUUAAUACUUCUUAUACUAACACUCAUAAAAACAGAAAUAUUUAAGUAGCAAUUUAUACUUCUCAACAGAAAUAUUUAUACAGCAGCCUUACAAAUUUUCACAUAUUUACUUGUCAUCUUUACAAUUUCUUUAUGAGAUUACUAUUCUUACUCCUAUUUUACACCCAAGAAAACUAAAGUGGAAAGGUUAAAUACAUUUUCCAGAAUCAUGUAAUUCUGGAAGGCAGAGUUGAGAUCUAGGUGUAGUUGUUCUGAUUCUUAAUCCUAUGUUCUUUCAAUUAAAUGAAUAUAUUUUUAAACUUCCUAGCGCAUAGUAGGUAUUCCAUAACUGUUGAUUUUUACAAGUCCCUGCUGUCUACUUGUGCUAGCUGCUUUCUUUGUGCAGGAGGCAGAUCUGUUAAGGUAGUGUAUUUUCAGCUCCCAUUGCUAUGAUAAUGCUAAUUAUUUUACAUCUUGUUCUGAAGGUCAAGAUCCCAAUGGAGAACAUACAUAGGCUCCUGCUAUAAUGAGCAUGCUUCUCGUGGUGGGAAAGAAUACAUUCUGAUCUCUUCCUACAGUAUUACAAAGUUGUUUUGCCAUUUGCAAUUUGUAUUUAUUUGGAAACAAGAUAAAUUCACCCCAGUGUACUCAUGCUGCUUAACCCUCCACAUUUAUUUUUAAAGUCCUCAGGAAAUGUAACUGUAAAAACAGUGUUUAGAACAGCAGGGUCAAUUGUUAUAGAUAGAUUCAGAUAAUGAAAAACAGAGAACAUCUGAUGCUUUUAAAGGGAGAUUUUCCAAAUAUAUUUACUGUUGGGGAUUAAGAGCUUUCGAGCAAUCAAUGUUCACCCAUUUUUGUUACCAGACCACAUUUAAACAGUCCCCUAUUCGUUCGCAAGGGAUGGUCCACACAAAUGCACUUCACUGGCAAUGUAGGAAACUUGCAUUAGUGGUCUAUAGAGAGAUAAAACAUGAGGAAGCAAGAUGCUCCUUUUCUUCUUCUCUCUCUGUUCCUAGGUUAUCUGUACGAGUGGUUCCAGCGCUUGCUGUCCAGCAUCCUCGGCAGUGAAUUCACUCUUGGAUUCUGAAGGAGAUUUGACACAGAAGAGAAGAAAAUAGUGAAGCAGGGAGAGGCAGAGUCAGAGGGAGAAGAUGCUAAACAUUGGCUUUGAAGAUGGAAGAUGGGGUCACAAGCUAAAGAAUAAAGGCAGCUACUAGAAGCUGGAAAAGGAACCAUGUGAAGCGAUAUGAAUCCACUUUUGCAAAUGAAGAAUCUGAGCCUGAAGGAAGAUUAGAGACUUGCUCAAGAUUUUACAGUUACAAGAUGCAUAUCUUCCCAUUCCUUCAAUUUCUUUUCUUGCUGAGAAGGAAGUUUGCAACAGAGGAUUUGCUUUCUUCAAGUACAUAUAUCCAUAAACAGAGGACUCAGCAGAGGACUCCAAGGCCCUAGAGAACAAUGGGACUGAAUAUACAACAGGAGGAGCCUGGGUUCCUGAGAGACUCUGUGGAGCAGAAUACCCACCCUUCCCUCUACCCCAUUGGCCUUUGCAUGAGAGAGAAAUAAAAUUCCAUUUUAUUACUGCUGAGAUUUUGAAAUGAUUUGUUUCAGCAGAUAGCCUCCCCUAAAUAAUACGAUAAAAUAAAGAUUGACAUGAUAACUUUUUUUCCGUGUGUCAAGGAUGGAUUUAUUCAGCAUUGGAGAAGAUUUUAUGACUCAAAACUCAAGUGACAGUGUCCUGAAAUAA